UGUUGUAUCUGUGUUGCUGACAGAGAUAAAUGUGAGGAUGUUAAAUAGAGUUCCAACUGUGCUCCAUGAUACCACCAUCUGCAAAAACAAGUGAUAGUGAAAGAUUUUUUUUAUUCUUUCAAGACUAAAGUAUCUAAUAAAAGAUCUGUCAAGGUUUGGCCCGUGACCAUGGAUGGACCAUUUAAGGUGAUGCUGUAACUAAACCAUCUGGGCCUCAGAAAGCAUCUAAAGAUCUUCCCCAGGCCGCCUGCGUCUUUCACCUUGUCCCCUUGAAAGCUCCGCCUCGUGAAUUAGACCCUGGGAGAGACGAAGUGAGUGAGCAACCAAACCGAUGGAGGACUGAAAGAGCAGCCAAAAUCAGCAAAAGUGAUGACAGGUUAUUUUUCACCACCCUCCCUUGACAGCGAAAUGCUGUUUUCACUUCUCCUCUGACACAUGGAAGAUUUAAUCUAGCCAUCUCUGGGCGGCCCUUCCGCUCUCGUAACCAAAUGAAAGCCAUGAUUACACGCGUUAAAGGCGGAGGGGGGGCUGGAGGCCUCGGUUCGAAAAAGGCCAAGGCAGCAGAUUCGUCCGGCCCGGCAGGGUGAUUCGACGUGCGUGGGUACAUGUGUUCAGACGCGUCUGUGUGUAAACCAUUACUUUUGAUGGUCGUAUUUAUUGUUAUAGAAGGUUAUUGUUUCGUGCGCCAGGUGGGAGACAUCUCGAGCCAUAAAAGUGAAUCGCACACGGCGGACGUGCACACUUCUGCUUUAAACAAUUAUUCGAAUGGCCCUCCCUCCUCAUCUAAAUCUCACCUCAUGUUCUUUUGAAAGGGCUUCGACCAAUAUUACAUGCAUUGUUUUCUAUUUUGCGUUAUGUAAAAUAAGUCAUAAUCGGUUUAGAGAUUACAACAUGUAGAUUUUCUCAAUGAUUAUCGCUGUGAUGACAAGGACAGUGUACAACUUAUUUUGCAUGUUUUUUCAAAACUUUCCAAAUGAUAUCCGCAUUUACCUUCCUGUGACUGUCCCUUUAAGUCAAGUGAGUCCUGUAUCACUGCAUGCAAUAUUUAUUCUCUUUCACUGCAAGGCCUUAAUGGUUAUUUUCCCAGCCAGCUGAGUGCACCAUAACUCCAGCACAAAGCAGCAGGGAACUUGAAAAUCACAAGGAUAUUUUAUGUUUAGAUAAGAAAGUGUCUAAACUAAUAACGAAUUUAUGAAUAAAAGCUUUACACGUACACCCGGCACAUUGACUAUGCCAUUUAUGUUUGCAAAUUCUGAUAAAUUCUGAUCGGUCUGGGUUAGACGGAAAGCACACAGUUUUAAUAAUUGAACCGUAUGUCACAUUAGCCGAGACUGACUUUGAUAGCAGAUUGUUCAUUAUUGUAAGUGCUAUGCUCAGUGCUGAGUUUAUGUCACUUUAUUAGCUUCGUUGCAGGAUACGUACACACCUCUCCUGCUGACACAGAAUAAAUAGUUUAAAGCGGUGACACCGAUGUGUUUGAAUGACACAUCCACCUCGCCUUUUGUCCUUUCCUGCAGUGGCCUCGUGCCAAACUCUUUUAAAAUCAUAUUAUCAAAUCGCCUACAGGACAGAAACUAUAUUUCUGACGAGCCGCCAAUAACAGACUAAUGUGAUUUGGCAAAUUGCGUUUAGAACGCUUUACAUUCUUGAUUGGAUUACUCUCAGCAAAAAAUUGGUUGCACUCCACUCCUAAUCAAGUUAAUCAUUGCUUUCACCUCAAAAUGUGUAAAAUGAAAAGGGAACAAGGUUCAUUAAAUAAACAGUGUGCAAACCGCAAGUUUUAAUAGGAUUAAUAUCGAGUUUACAUUUCCGAAAAGGAAACCUGUAUUAGUAAUACCUUGCCUUUCAGUCCUGUUUUAGAAUCGGAUAACGGUUUAGCUAGGCGGAUUAGUUGCAGUCAAUUGAAUCCUUAUUUAUUUACCAAAGCACCUCCACGAGAAGCCUGCUUUUUACUUCUUCAUUUCAAACAAACAAUAACUAUGAAAUGCUUGGAGUUAUGUAAGUUUCAUGG